CAGCAGCCGCGUGAAUACAGAGGGUGCGAGCGUUAAUCGGAUUUACUGGGCGUAAAGCGUGCGUAGGCGGCUUCUUAAGUCGGAUGUGAAAUCCCUGAGCUUAACUUAGGAAUUGCAUUCGAUACUGGGAAGCUAGAGUAUGGGAGAGGAUGGUAGAAUUCCAGGUGUAGCGGUGAAAUGCGUAGAGAUCUGGAGGAAUACCGAUGGCGAAGGCAGCCAUCUGGCCUAAUACUGACGCUGAGGUACGAAAGCAUGGGGAGCAAACAGGAUUAGAGACCCCGGUAGUCCCUGUCUCUUAUAC
rnacentral:rRNA from 1 species